GGACGUUAAAAACCGGACGAUCGUUACACGGAUGUCUUGCGUGAGUCUUAGCUCGAACAUGAUACGACGAACGAAGUUUGGCACUUUGGCGAGAUGCAUAAAACGCUCGUACAUACAUACAUACAUAUAUAUUAGAGUGUUCUCCUUCUAUUCGAAUUUUUUUUCUCU